CGGGGUGUGGCGCAGCCUGGCAGCGCACCUGCUUUGGGAGCAGGGAGUCGGAGGUUCAAAUCCUCUCACCCCGACCA
rnacentral:tRNA from 1 species